AUUGAACGCUGGCGGCAUGCCUUACACAUGCAAGUCGAACGGCAGCACGGGUGCUUGCACCUGGUGGCGAGUGGCGAACGGGUGAGUAAUAUAUCGGAACGUGCCCUAGAGUGGGGGAUAACGUAGCGAAAGUUACGCUAAUACCGCAUACGAUCUACGGAUGAAAGUGGGGGAUCGCAAGACCUCAUGCUCAUGGAGCGGCCGAUAUCUGAUUAGCUAGUUGGUGGGGUAAAAGCCUACCAAGGCGACGAUCAGUAGCUGGUCUGAGAGGACGACCAGCCACACUGGGACUGAGACACGGCCCAGACUCCUACGGGAGGCAGCAGUGGGGAAUUUUGGACAAUGGGGGCAACCCUGAUCCAGCAAUGCCGCGUGUGUGAAGAAGGCCUUCGGGUUGUAAAGCACUUUUGUCAGGAACGAAACGGGGAGGCUAAUACCUUCUG
rnacentral:rRNA from 1 species